UCACAUUCUCAGGAAGUGUUUCUGAAUGGUAUAACCUUUUAGCUUUUGUGAAAUGGAGUUAUAGUUGUGUUAAAGGAUGCGAGAAAUUAAUGUUAUUUCAAUGUCUGCCUUGCAGAGAUGCCCUUGUUACUCAGUUCUGUUCUCAAUGUUCUGAACCAAACUGUUUUGUUGAACCUCUUAGUGGGUCUAUUUGAUUCUAAACUUGUCUUUGAAGGAAUAAAAUAGAACCCACUUUUCUUAUUUGCAUGCUACUGUUUCAAUUAUAUUUUACUACUUUACUACCUCUCCUCUACAAUGUGGAGAUCCUCCUGCAACAGAAAAACUCUUGUUGUUCACUAAAAGUUUAAAGUCUGGAAUUAUUCAGUCCUCCAACUCAUCAAAACCGUUGAAUAAAAAUCAAUCUGCUAAUGUUUUAUAUAUCUGUAAUCAAAGAUAAAAUAUGUAUCUCAUUAGUUUUACAAGUAUGCUUGUAAUGAUUCACUAUCCUCUGUAAAACAAGGAGACAAGGAGUCAAUGACAUUUGUAGUUGUGAGCAUUUCAUGUUUUCUCACUAUUAUAGAUUUAUGAAACAACACUUGGUUAUGCCUCUCAAGUCACUUGAAAGCAUU
rnacentral:lncRNA from 1 species